rnacentral:rRNA from 1 species
UACGGAGGGGGCAAGCGUUAUUCGGAAUUAUUGGGCGUAAAGGGCGCGUAGGCGGCUUGACAAGUCAAAGGUGAAAUCCCUCGGCUCAACUGAGGAACUGCCUUUGAAACUGUCUGGCUUGAGGCCGGGAGAGGGUAGCGGAAUUCCCAGUGUAGCGGUGAAAUGCGUAGAUAUUGGGAGGAACACCAGUGGCGAAGGCGACAUACUGGCUCAUUACUGACGCUGAGGCUCGAAAGCGUGGGGAGCAAACAGG